AGAGAGAGAGAGAGAGAGAGAGAGAGAGAGAGAGAGAGAGAGAGAGAGAGAGAGAGAGAGAGAGAGAGAGAGAGAGAGAGAGAGAGAGAGAGAGAGAGACUGCCAGUGAUAGACAGCAUAAUUGGCGUGUAUUUCCCGUGUGUGUGUGUGUGUGUGUGUGUGUGUGUGUGUGUGUGUGUGUGUGUGUGUGUGUGUGUGUGUGUGUGUGUGUGUGUGUGUGUGUGUAUGUGUGUGCUCCUGAUGUCAUAAACAAUACAAGACAUAAAUGUUUGCUCAGAAAAAUAUAUCAUGCAGUGCAUUGA